CUGGAAGCUCCAUCACCACACAGGUGCCACCAUGCCUGGAGCUUUGUGGGACUUUUAGCACCAGGUUCCCUUCCAUGGGAAACAGAGUGACAUCUACUUGCUCCUACUGCAGCUGGCUUGCUACAUUGGUUUGCAGUCUCCGUCUCUGGCCUGCUUCACACAGCUGUCCUGAGGUCAUGGUGGUGUCCUGAUGAUUUGUUAUAGGAGAGACUCUGGAACGCCAUGUGAGAAGCUUGCAGGGAUGAACCAUCCAAGCCUGCAGCCAAUGGAGAACAAGUUACAGAGCAGCCUCCGCCCAGCAGAUGAGGUGGAUCCAGCCGUGCAGCCAGAACUGACAACAAAUUUCCUUUUGUCCCAUAUAGGAACUUUUCUUUGCUUCUUAACUUGCCUUAAGGCCAAUUUAUUUGUAUGAACUUAUGUUUCCGAGAAAAGUUGUUCCUUGGGUAAUAUUCAUCUACAAUUUCCCUUCAUUACUAUUUUACUGUAAACAGGAGAGAAUUCAG
rnacentral:lncRNA from 1 species